GAAAUGCGAUACGUAAUGCGAAUUGCAGAAUUCAGUGAAUCAUCGAAUCUUUGAACGCAAGUUGCGCUUCUGAGAGCCCUCGGAAGCAUGCCUCUCUGAGUAUCGGUUUCCAUCUCACACCCGGUGUGGAGAAUGAGAGUCGGCCAUUCAUCUGGCUCCGUCUCUUCAAGUCAGUUGUCGGCACACGCAAGUCCAUCGGAUUCUUGGAACGAUAAUCCGUCAUGGCACUCGUAAACCAUACGCAACAAGAUCUCAGAUGAGGUAAGACUACCCGCCGAAUUUAA
rnacentral:misc_RNA from 1 species